AAAAAGAUUUAGAAAUUUGGUCAAACUUGAAGCUUUCACUGCUAGGCCGUAUUGCUGCGAUAAAAAUGAAUGUAUUGCCUAGAAUGUUGUUUUUGUUUCAAACUUUGCAGAUUGUGGACAAAAUGGACUGUUUCAAGAGGUGGCAGAAAGAUAUUUCUAGAUUUGUCUGGCAGGGCAAGAAACCUAGAAUAAAAUUUAAAAUACUAACAGAUGCAAAGGAAAGAGGUGGAUUUGCCCUGCCAGACCUCAAACUUUAUUAUGAAUCAGCAGCUUUUUGCUGGUUGAAAGAAUGGCUACUUCUUGAAAACACUGACAUUUUGGAUUUGGAAGGUUUUAAUAAUGUAUUUGGAUGGCAUGCAUAUUUAUGGUAUGAUAAGGUCAAAGCACACAAAGCAUUUAAAAACCACAUUGUCAGGAAAGCGCUAUUUAAUGUUUGGAUAAGAUAUAAGGAUUUGCUAGAAAAUAAAACCCCAAGGCGGCUGUCACCAAUGGAAGCGAAAGCCUUGAAAAGGGUCAAUAUGGAGGUCAAAUGGCCGAAAUAUUGGGAAAUUUUGGAACAAGACGGAGAUAGACUGAAAUUGCAGAGUUUUGAAAAACUAAAAAACAAAGUGCGAGACUGGCUCCAUUAUUAUCAAAUAAUGGAGGUAUUUAAACUAGACAGGAAAAUUGGCUUCCAGGUGGAAAAAUCAAAAUUAGAAACAGAAUUGUUAGAACCCAAUACUAAGAAUCUGUCAAGAAUGUAUAACUUGCUGCUGAAAUGGAAUACUCAAGAUGAAACGGUAAAAUCGGCUAUGAUUAAAUGGGCACAGGACGUAGGACACAACAUUAUGUUUGCUGACUGGGAACAGUUAUGGACCACAGGCAUGAAGUUCACGGCAUGUAAUGCCUUAAGAGAGAAUAUUAUGAAAAUGAUAUACAGGUGGUACAUAACCCCAGUCAAGCUUGCGAAAAUCUAUCACUUGCCCGAUAACAAAUGUUGGAAAUGUAAAGAAAUUGAAGGUACAUUUUUUCACCUUUGGUGGACGUGCCCAAAGAUUAAGGCUUUCUGGGAAAUGAUAUAUAAUGAAUUAAAAAAGGUAUUCAAAUAUACCUUCCCCAAGAAACCAGAGGCCUUUCUCCUGGGCAUAGUCGGCCAAAUGGUGUUAAAAAGGAUAGAACUUUCUUUAUGUAUGCAACAACAGCAGCAAGAAUACUCAUCGCAAAGUAUUGGAAGACACAAGAACUUCCCACGCUGGAGGAAUGGCAGAUGAAACUUAUGGACUAUAUGGAAUUGGCGGAAAUGACUGGCAGAAUCCGUGACCAGGGAGAAGAGUCGAUGGAGGAAGACUGGAAGAAAUUCAAAGACUAUCUUCAGAAACACUGCAAAAUUAAGGAAUGUUAGAGUGAUGUUGGACUGAAAAUAAAUGGUUUCCAGCUGUACAGGUUAAAGGUAAAGAUAGAUUAAGAUUUAAGAUCAAGAUUAAAGAUGUUUAAAGAAAUGGAAAUUGGAUAAUAAAAGGGAAAAAUUUAAAGGUAUAUGACAUUAAGAAUAAGGAUUAUGUUUAAAAAAGUUGAAGUUAUAUAUUUUAAUAUUUUAUUAAAUUAAAGAUUGGGUUCAAAAAAGUGGAAAAGAAACUGCUGGACAAAUAACGUAGAUUGGAAUACAAAAGAGGGAGGUAUGAGGAAGUCCAGAAAAUAAGUAAUUUAAAUUUGGGAAUGGAAAAGAGAGUUUGUUUUUAAUUGUUAUGUUUUGCGUUUUUAUUGUUAAACUUUGUAUUGUUUUUUUGUGUGUGUUGUUUUUUCUUUUUUCUUUGUUUAAAACUUUAAUAAAAAUUAUUUAAAAAAAAAAAAGAAAAUAUCUAUGUACAGGUGAGCAGGGAUGAAACUGGACUGCAGAUAUGGAUUAAAACUUCAAAUGGAACUGUGUGUGUAAAAACAAAAAGGAAAAAGGGAGGGAAGAUCUAUUUUACAAAAUGUUUACGAUGGAAAAUUAGAGCUGACUCUUCCCCAUCCUGUAUUAUAUACAGACUGAACUGAUUAAUGCUAAAAGGACUUGGAAUUUAAUUUAAUUGGAUAAAUGCGCAUUUAUCUUCGGCCAGACAGAGGGAUGUAAGGAAUCUGAAAGUUGUGAGGGAGCUGAUAAGGUUCAUUACUGAGUCAAUUGCAGUUUGACCGAUCCCUCUCCUUCCCAGGCAGAGAAGAAAAAUGGCAAAAACUGAUUAUUUAUUGGGACAGUGUGAUUUUUGCAGCCGCUGUUAAAGUUGCCAAACAACGAAGUACAGGACAGAGCGAUGGAGAAUUUCUGAAACCACAAUGGGAUAUUAGCUCCGCCCAAGGAAUGAUGGAGAACAGCAACAACCAGGAAAAGAUAGACAGAACAUUUUACAAGGACAGGAAGAAAUAUCACGAGCAGAAAGAUUGCCACACAUGGGAAGAGUAAGGAUA
rnacentral:lncRNA from 1 species